rnacentral:rRNA from 1 species
CCCUUAGAUGUCCGGGGCCGCACGCGCGCUACACUGAAGGAAUCAGCGUGGCUUUCUCCCUGACCCGAAAGGGUUGGGAAACCCGUUGAAUCUCCUUCGUGAUAGGGAUUGGGGCUUGAAAUUGUUCCCCAUGAACGAGGAAUUCCCAGUAAGCGCGAGUCAUAAGCUCGCGUUGAUUACGUCCCUGCCCUUUGUACACACCGCCCGUCGCUACUACCGAUUGAACGGUUUAGUGAGGGCCUCGGAUUGGUCUCGGCCCGCUCUUUACCGGGCGGCGCCGUUGGUCGAGAAGACGCUCGAUCUUGAUCGUUUAGAGGAAGUAAAAGUCGUAACA